UCCUGUCUGAAUAUGGGGGGACCAUCCUCCAAGGCUAAAUACUCCUGACUGACCGAUAGUGAACCAGUACCGUGAGGGAAAGGCGAAAAGAACCCCGGCGAGGGGAGUGAAAAAGAACCUGAAACCGUGUACGUACAAGCAGUGGGAGCACGCUUAGGCGUGUGACUGCGUACCUUUUGUAUAAUGGGUCAGCGACUUAUAUUCUGUAGCAAGGUUAACCGAAUAGGGGAGCCGAAGGGAAACCGAGUCUUAACUGGGCGUUAAGUUGCAGGGUAUAGACCCGAAACCCGGUGAUCUAGCCAUGGGCAGGUUGAAGGUUGGGUAACACUAACUGGAGGACCGAACCGACUAAUGUUGAAAAAUUAGCGGAUGACUUGUGGCUGGGGGUGAAAGGCCAAUCAAACCGGGAGAUAGCUGGUUCUCCCCGAAAGCUAUUUAGGUAGCGCCUCGUGAAUUCAUCUCCGGGGGUAGAGCACUGUUUCGGCAAGGGGGUCAUCCCGACUUACCAACCCGAUGCAAACUGCGAAUACCGGAGAAUGUUAUCACGGGAGACACACGGCGGGUGCUAACGUCCGUCGUGAAGAGGGAAACAACCCAGACCGCCAGCUAAGGUCCCAAAGUCAUGGUUAAGUGGGAAACGAUGUGGGAAGGCCCAGACAGCCAGGAUGUUGGCUUAGAAGCAGCCAUCAUUUAAAGAAAGCGUAAUAGCUCACUGGUCGAGUCGGCCUGCGCGGAAGAUGUAACGGGGCUAAACCAUGCACCGAAGCUGCGGCAGCGACGCUUAUGCGUUGUUGGGUAGGGGAGCGUUCUGUAAGCCUGCGAAGGUGUGCUGUGAGGCAUGCUGGAGGUAUCAGAAGUGCGAAUGCUGACAUAAGUAACGAUAAAGCGGGUGAAAAGCCCGCUCGCCGGAAGACCAAGGGUUCCUGUCCAACGUUAAUCGGGGCAGGGUGAGUCGACCCCUAAGGCGAGGCCGAAAGGCGUAGUCGAUGGGAAACAGGUUAAUAUUCCUGUACUUGGUGUUACUGCGAAGGGGGGACGGAGAAGGCUAUGUUGGCCGGGCGACGGUUGUCCCGGUUUAAGCGUGUAGGCUGGUUUUCCAGGCAAAUCCGGAAAAUCAAGGCUGAGGCGUGAUGACGAGGCACUACGGUGCUGAAGCAACAAAUGCCCUGCUUCCAGGAAAAGCCUCUAAGCAUCAGGUAACAUCAAAUCGUACCCCAAACCGACACAGGUGGUCAGGUAGAGAAUACCAAGGCGCUUGAGAGAACUCGGGUGAAGGAACUAGGCAAAAUGGUGCCGUAACUUCGGGAGAAGGCACGCUGAUAUGUAGGUGAAGUCCCUCGCGGAUGGAGCUGAAAUCAGUCGAAGAUACCAGCUGGCUGCAACUGUUUAUUAAAAACACAGCACUGUGCAAACACGAAAGUGGACGUAUACGGUGUGACGCCUGCCCGGUGCCGGAAGGUUAAUUGAUGGGGUUAGCGCAAGCGAAGCUCUUGAUCGAAGCCCCGGUAAACGGCGGCCGUAACUAUAACGGUCCUAAGGUAGCGAAAUUCCUUGUCGGGUAAGUUCCGACCUGCACGAAUGGCGUAAUGAUGGCCAGGCUGUCUCCACCCGAGACUCAGUGAAAUUGAACUCGCUGUGAAGAUGCAGUGUACCCGCGGCAAGACGGAAAGACCCCGUGAACCUUUACUAUAGCUUGACACUGAACAUUGAGCCUUGAUGUGUAGGAUAGGUGGGAGGCUUUGAAGUGUGGACGCCAGUCUGCAUGGAGCCGACCUUGAAAUACCACCCUUUAAUGUUUGAUGUUCUAACGUUGACCCGUGAUCCGGGUUGCGGACAGUGUCUGGUGGGUAGUUUGACUGGGGCGGUCUCCUCCUAAAGAGUAACGGAGGAGCACGAAGGUUGGCUAAUCCUGGUCGGACAUCAGGAGGUUAGUGCAAUGGCAUAAGCCAGCUUGACUGCGAGCGUGACGGCGCGAGCAGGUGCGAAAGCAGGUCAUAGUGAUCCGGUGGUUCUGAAUGGAAGGGCCAUCGCUCAACGGAUAAAAGGUACUCCGGGGAUAACAGGCUGAUACCGCCCAAGAGUUCAUAUCGACGGCGGUGUUUGGCACCUCGAUGUCGGCUCAUCACAUCCUGGGGCUGAAGUAGGUCCCAAGGGUAUGGCUGUUCGCCAUUUAAAGUGGUACGCGAGCUGGGUUUAGAACGUCGUGAGACAGUUCGGUCCCUAUCUGCCGUGGGCGCUGGAGAAUUGAGGGGGGCUGCUCCUAGUACGAGAGGACCGGAGUGGACGCAUCACUGGUGUUCGGGUUGUCAUGCCAAUGGCACUGCCCGGUAGCUAAAUGCGGAAGAGAUAAGUGCUGAAAGCAUCUAAGCACGAAACUUGCCCCGAGAUGAGUUCUCCCUGACUCCUUGAGAGUCCUGAAGGAACGUUGAAGACGACGACGUUGAUAGGCCGGGUGUGUAAGCGCAGCGAUGCGUUGAGCUAACCGGUACUAAUGAACCGUGAGGCUUAACCUU
rnacentral:rRNA from 1 species